GUUGUAAAGUCCGAGUCCCAGACAAGUCAAGUAGUAGCUGCGCCGGGCACUCGAGGAAAAGGAGAUUAGACACCUGCUGUUCGUUUCAAUCUUUUGAUGGUUCUUCUCAAAGAUCACUAACACCAAAAGCGAGUGUUGGACAUCAUCAUCCUAAAGCUGAACCAAGGGUAGUAGCCAUUGUGGUCCCGCGAGAAAGACGUGGAAAAGUCCUGGCGUGCGACGAAACCGAACCUGAACCAGUUAGUUCUUGGAGCUAUUGGUGGCUGCUCGCCGCGGCGGUUAUUCUCUUAGGCGGCGCAUUCGCAGCGAAAAAGAAGAUGUCGGCAUAGACAAUAUAAUAAUAAUAAGGCAAUGGUUAUGCUAAGUCAGGAAAUAUUUGUAUUGGUUACCCUACUUCAUCAUAAUUUAGAUUGCAUCUCGUGUGUUAAUACACGUCUGAUCUUUCAGAUCAAAAAUGCAUUAUGAAGAGAGAACUCUCCAUAAUAAAUUUUUGAUAUUCGCUAUGAGAACGGUCAGUAAUACGACUGGCGCUACCUAGGCUUUGAAACUAGUAGACAUGUACAGUUCGACUGCGCAAUAAAGAUAAAUACAAACACUUUUUACGA